rnacentral:tRNA from 1 species
CAGAAAGUAGUUUAAUUAAAAAUUUAGGUUUUGGAAAUCUAUGAUGUCUUACUGAGAUUUUUCUGA